rnacentral:snoRNA from 1 species
GCAAUGAUGUUAAAUCUGGUUUGAUUUAAAAAAAUGAUUGUUUAUCCUCUAAGAAGUACUGAGCUA